AAAAAAAAAAAAAACUGUACCAGUACCGGUAGCCAUCCUAUAUUUAAUGAACGUUAGGCAACAGGCCUAGUGUUCUGCCCAUUUGAGUUUCGGCUAUUUCCAUUUUUCAAUUCAUAAGUAGGCACAGUUGAUAGUUUUGUUGUUAUAUCUCAUACAAAAACGCUUUAAGUUAGUCGAUUUAUUUUAAAAUGGGUACCAUCCAAAGGAUAAUUUCAAAUAACUCACUUUUUAUAAGAUCAUAUCAAUGCAACCUGCUGGGCUCACCAAACAUUUGGAAUCCCAAAAACAAGAGAUAUUCACAGACUCAUCAAGGGAAUCAAGAUGAACAAGAAAAAUUUCUACCGACAAUUUCAGAAGUUAAGAAGAAGUUCAUGGCGAAAAUGGGCCUGGAACCAGGAUUUAGAACAUUGAAACAAACCCGAUCAUCUUUGCUGGAAUAUCUACCAGCUUCACAGGAUGAACUUCCACAAAGAUCCAUCAAGGACAGUUUUCAAUGUGCCAUGAUACCACUGAGCUCUAGUGUGAGUCUUCAGGAAAGAUAUGUGAGCAUUCUAGGCAAUGUGCGGUUCGGAAGGCUAAUGGAAGAUAUGGAUAUAUUUGCAGCCUGGGUUGCUAUGAAUUAUAUCCAUAAUCCCAAGCAACCAGAGAAUAUGCCAACUCCAUACGUCAUUGUAACAGUACUAGUGGAUCACAUUGCAUUCACAGACUUCAACCCGAAGCCGCAGCUGGAUAUCAGGGUGUCAGGACAUGUGAGUCACGUAGGCAAGUCCUCCAUAGAGACGACAGUGUGGCUGGAACAGGAGCACCUCGGAGAGUGGCAUAAGAUCACCACCGCUAUAUUCCUGAUGGCAGCGCGCAACGCCAACAUGACUGGUGGAGCUCCGGUCAACAGACUAGUGCCGGCUGACGAGGAGGAGAAAAUCAUCAUCGCUAAGGCAGAGUUGAGGAAGAAGCGUCGCCAAGUAGAGGACAAGGGCUCUGUACUGAUACAGAUGCCAGGUCCUGAUGAACAGCAGGUGGUACACAACUUGUUUGUCAGCUCACUAGAUCUUCACAACAACCAACGAGUGUUGCCUCAGGGCUGUGCAUGGAUGGGCGACACUAAGCGUUCUAACAUCGUCUUCUCCCAUCCCGAGAACCGCAACCUGCACAACAAAGUAUUUGGAGGUUUCCUGAUGAGACAAGCCCUUGAACUGGCUUGGAUCGUGGGAUAUUUCCACAGCAAACACAGACCUAAGCUCUGCCACAUCAGCGACAUAAGCUUCAAGAAGCCAGUGGAUGUCGGGUCUAUUUUAUCAAUGACAGCCCAGGUUAUCUACACAGAACAAAACUUCAUGCAGAUCUUGGUUCGAGCUGAAGUGACAAAUCCCUUCUCUGGUCAGACAACUACGACAAACAUCUUUCAUUACACUUACGAAGCCCCAGACCUGGUCAAGCCUGUCAUGCCAAACACCUAUUACGAGGCAAUGAUGUACAUUGAUGGACGUCGCCAUUUCCAAGAAGUCAUGGGACUCAAGUCUUUGUAAGACCAGUGAACUUCAAGCUUCGCUGUCUAAACUCAGGUUGCCUCAGUAUUACCAAUCCGCAUAAUCUAGAAAUUAAAAUUUCUGCAGCAAUGUGGCAGGUAACAAUGAGUGCUCAACUUAAAAAAAUAUACCUCUAUGGAUGGAGCCAACGAUGUUCAACGCUAGAAAUCAGCUGUGCGCUUGAAUUUUAUCCUAACCUAGCUUUUGUUUGUAAAAGAACGUUACUGUUAGAAGAUGAGUGAAAUGGAUAAUGAAAAAUAUUGUACGUAACCUCCUGAACAUUGUCGGGUCAGGUCAAAUCUUGUACGUUACAUGUUACGCAAGAGCGUCUUUGCAUCACUUAGGUGAAUUCUCCUUGUAAAAACGCUCUUACUACACUUGUAAGGUAAAUAGCUAUUAAACAGGUAAUACAAUUAAAGAAAAAAAUAAAGAUUAAUUUUCUUUCUCUCACUAAAUUUGAAGCAAUAACAUAAAUUAAGUUAUAGCCAAGCAAAACCAUUAAUUUCUCUGAUGCAAUAACCUAUAGCUUUAUUGCUUAGCUUUACCCUGUUGUGUGUUUACCCUGUGUGUGUUUACUCACAUAGGGUUAUUUGAUCAAACUACUUUUAUGAUAUUAAUAAGAAUAAGUUCCAGUAUUAUUAAGUUCCUGGAAUGUUCUUUAUAAUUGUUAAUUUUUGUUCAACAAAUAACCUGGGGAUUGUUUUACUAAGUAGUAUUAACUUUUUGCAUUUACAAAUUAGUUAGGUACAAAUAGUUUAUUUACUUUAUUCAGAUUAAGUAUUAAAGUAUUCACUAGUUUUGUUGUGAAGAUAAUCAUUGGAGUAAGGAAUACAAUAAACUUCCUCAGAAUGGAUCUGUUUGGUUUGGACUUUGAACAGCUUAAACAGUGAAAUGUAUGACUCUCACGAUCAUAUCAUUUUGUUCUUAAGUACCUACUGUAUGUAAACAAAUCACAACCUGUUUGUUAACUUUGACUAUUGAUACAACUAUACAUUCCAUCCCCAUUUUAAAAUUGUCGCCAGACUUUUUAAUCAAGAUUUACAUAGUUGAUGUGAGCCACCAACAGAUUGCGCUGAUAUAAAUUAUUAAUUUCUGUUAAAUACAUACUUUCUUACCAAGUCAAACUGAUGGACGACUUUUUGUGAGCUUUAACAACUGUUAUGACCCAUUAAUGUCAGAAACCAAAAAUAAGGACGAAAAUAGAAUUUUCGCUUCACUACUGUGAAAUGACCUGUUUUCAAUACAUGUUUAUCACCUGCGAAAAUUCAUCAUUAUGUUGUUUACUACGGCAAAAGAAUGUUACCAUGCAAGUAAUGUUUACUUUUUUGGAUUUUGCAGACGUAAACAAACAAAGAUUUGUUAUUGUUUUGUCAACUGUUUUAAUUUGCAACAGCCAAAACUGUACAACCAAAGUCAAUAUUAACUGUUUCUUUGAUAUUGAUGUUAUAACCUGACAAAUGCUAUGAGUUUUGUAAUGUUCAAGAAAAUAAUUAGUCUUUGUAGUGUAGCGAAAAGUAACGUUCAAAACACAGGUGAAAGUGGAUAAAUCUUGCACUUCAAACAUGGUCUUAAUGACUCACUUUCUACUCUUGUUAUGAAAUAUACUAUUUCGACACUAGCACAUUCUGUGCCCGGCUCACACAACUAUGUUAUUUUUUAUAAAAAAAUGGCGACAGCUGGUCCAUAUAGAUGGGAUGCAAAUCCAAUCUUUAGUAGGCCUAUCCAAUAGUCAAUGCUGUUAAUCUAGCGCUGUUCACUACACAUAUUUAUACAUAUAUUUCUUAACUGUUCAAGUUCAAUACAUAAAGCAGCGUAUAGACGUGGACAGUAGAGACGGCAAGUUGCUGGCUGCAAGUACUUGCCAGUUGCACUUACUGCAUACUUACCUUGUGUAUAGGGGUACUUUCCUUUCCAGCGGCAAGAAAACUCAAACAUGUUUGAUUUUACUGGCCUGGCCGCGGCAAGUAGUGGGUCACGUGACCACUGGCGACCAGAACUUUCCUCUCUAAACAUGUACUUGCCAUACACUUGCCGCCAGUAGAGCAGAGUGGCAAGUUCAAUCAGAGUUGAUCAAGUUUAUAGAAGUGACAGUGUGUUUGUUUGAAAUGUCAGACAAGGGCCCUGCUGAGAAGAAAAAAAUCAUUUAUUAGAGCUGUGAUGACAUCACUAAGCUUUUAGAGAUUUUUCAAAGUUAUGAAAUAUUGUGGAACAUACGUCAUAUUAACUAUGGCAAAAUUCUUCAUGACAUUUAGACAUGCUCAACACAAAUUAAAUUCAAGUAUCGACACCAUUCACUCGCAAACUCAAAGCAGAAUAGGAAAACAUGUGGGAAGUGACGUAAUGGACAGUACUUGCAGCCAGCAACUUGCCGUCUCUACUGUCCCCAUCUAUACGCUGCUUUAAUGUAGGUUUUUAAUAAUUUUGCACACAUAAUCUGUGGUUUUAACAAGUAUCCAUUCAUUUUUGAAUCAAUUUCUGAUGGGCGGUUUGGGAGUUCGGUAUUAGCGCUAGUCCGCGACUAAAUCCAGAUAUUUCCGGUAUUUUAGGCUGCCGCCUCGAAAACGGGUUUGUGAGCUCAGGAUCAGUAAGGCGCGCGCCUAACUUGUGCAGGGAUAAUCUCGCGCCUAAAUAUUGUUGGUUUGGGAGUCAAGUAGACUUAGGCGCCAGCCCAAGAGAUAGUCUCAGUGGGUUUGGGAGACCAAUUUCGGGACUAAGAGAUAUGUUUUCGUCAUAAAAAUCAGUGAGUUUAGUCCCCAACUUUAGUCCUGCCAGGGGGCAGGUCUAAGUCGACAUCAUGCCGGUAUUAGCUCAUUAGCAAGUUAGUUGUUUACAUAUUAACCAAAAGAAUGUUAUAUUGGAAUUCGUUAUUAAAUUCUGAACAUUUUCAUUACUCUCAAAGUAUAUUUGAUAAAACUUUUUUUUAAGUUUUCUGUUUUUCAAAAUAAAACAAAAAUCUUGCAGAAAGCUAAAUUUAACGAAAGAUUAUUUGGUUUUUGUUUUUACUGUUAACUGCAAUACAAAUAUGGACCCUAAAUAGAAUUUCUUUCAACUGAGAGUUUGGCUAUAAGCACCCAUACCUUAAUUAUAAAUAUUUUAUUAGUAAGGAAAUAAUUAGCAACCACAUGCAUACCCCCCACUCACCCCCUACGAAAGAGUGAAGAGAUAGUAAACAAAACAUAAAAACCUGCAAAUAGCUCACAGUCAUAAUCGUUAUCUUUUAAUUGUGUUGUGAUAGAGCUCAGUUCAGUGUCAUUAACCAAGUGCUAGUUACAUCAAAAUGGAGUACCUAGAUUAUUUGGAGUAUAAGGAAAUAUAUACAGUAUAUCAAUAACCCGCCACAGAAAACCUGCAGACUAAGCGAAUUUCCAAAUAACCUAAUAGAGCUUUCAAUUAAAUUUAUUUAAAUAACUUUAGGUUUAACAAGCACCUGAAACUACCUACGGUGUACGUAUGCUGCUACAGGGAGGGUAAUAAAGUGUGUUUUUUAACAAAAUAUUAACAGCUUUAUAAAAAAUAAAUAAAUUUGCCAAGUUUCAUAAAAAUAUGUCCAUAAACGACCACACUAGAACAGUUAACUUAUUCUCCAUAAGAAUCACAUGGGAAUUUAAAAUUUACAAUUUUACCAAUAGUCUCUGUAGCCAAUAACCUUACAAAACAUUUUAAGAUAUUAAUUUGUAUUUUAUACUCUUUAAAAUACUCUUCACUCUUUAAAUUACUCUUUAAAAUAUUUUAAAGACAAAGAUUUAUGUUAUAGGGGUUAAAAUUGAGAAAAAAACUAUUUUUAUCCUAUACAACUCCGGGUUCCCUUGGUCUGAUCAUGCUGGUUCGCGAACUCGAGAAUCGCGCCUAACACUUUCAUGCCAAAUUUUAUCAAAAUCAGACAAAAAUUACUCAAGUUAUCACGUAUAUGGACGUAUAUAUAAUACAUUAUAUAUAGGCCAUGCAUAUAUAAAAUUUUGAACGAACAGUGUUUUUGGCCUCUAGGGACAUCAAAAUGGAAAAGUUUAUCGAUCCCGGAACUAAGUGCUACCUACGGUAAUAGAUACUUCCCUAGGAAAAUUGGAUAAAAGAGUGUCAUAUGUAAAAAAAGAUUUUAAAUUGACAACAAUUUUUUCUAAGUACUGUAUUAAAAGAUAUUUUUUUACAUUUACCUUGGCUUCACACAAUCAUAACCUCCGCAGUUACUUUUUAUUAUUUUUUUGUCAAUACCCCUACAUUAUACUGGGAAAUUACUGUUAAUUUUGAAGCUUUUUAUUGCAUGAAACCGAGUUUCCGAUGUUAAUCCUAUGUUGCUCUGUACGUAUUUAUAAGGUGGAGUACUUAAAAGACAAAUAGCAGUACUUAAUGACAACUGAUUAAAUAAUUAUAAAUCGUAAAGUGAAAAUAAAGUUAGAUCUUAAAAGAAUUUAAUAUAAACAAUUACGGUUCUUCAGUCAUUGGGAUGUAAAACAACGAUCUUACAAAACUACAUUUUUGCAAUGGUACAAUGCAGAAACAUACACCAUAGUCUACUAAUUAGCCACCAAUGAUAUACCAAGAUAAAAUUGUAUCCAUCUUCAAUAAGUGUUCAUCUUUUGUUGUUGUCAACGGUAACGGGUUCUGCAAUGGCCGUUGCCAACGUCAAAACCUGAAUUCCCCGCGAUUCCCUGUCCAUCUAGCCGCGCUACAACUUAGGCGCGACUAUACUUGUCUACGACCAUUUCAACUUAGGCGCGAGCUUCCAAGCCUGGUUUCUGGUCCGGGGACUAAAGUUAGGCGCGUCCAACACUAAGCGCGUACUAGCUGGGCUCGAGCUCCCAAACCGCCUCUAAGACUUUUUGUAGUUUUUGACAUCGUUCCGAUAUUGAACAUUCUAAACUAAAUGAAGUUAACUGCAGGAUUAAAUGUUUCGUAUAAAUUAUUUCGUUUUAUGUCAUUUUUAACUUUACUUUUUGACAUAUUUUUUAAAUGUUUAUGAUCCAUAAAAUAGUUGCAAAGCAAUGUUUUCUGCUAUUUUGUUUGGUAAGGAAAGGUUUUGCACAACCCUAAGUGCUAUCUUUGUUUUGUAUGAAUGUGUUAUUUUUGUAAAUUUCAAUUUUUUACUAGGCUAGUUAAAUUAAUUUAAUCAUGACACAAAUGUACAAACGUUUUACUGAAAAGCUUUAUUUCGUGUUUAAAUAAAUUGUAUGUAUUAAAUGUUUAUAAACUUAACCCUUUACUUCCCAUAGUAUCCUUUUUGAUACAUAUUAUUUCUCAUUUUUUUACCUCUCUGUAGGUAGAGAUUUGAGUCUAUACCUCUAUGCAUUUGGUUUCUAGGCUUAUUAGAAAGGGUAUUUAAUUUUCUUAGUGUUGGUAAGCCUGCGAAAAGAAGAAAAAUUUAAUUUCAAAGUGAUGCAAACCAGGUUGUUGAUAAAUCUUGAAAUUUAAGAUUUUCAAGAUAAGAUUUUUUAUGUUUAUAAUUAGUUAGGGAACUGGGAAAAAUUAUGUUUCACUUCAUUGCACCUUUAGCAACUGAAAUAUACAUAGAAUUACAGUCUUCUGUUACUUACUUUUUAUAUAUUUGGUAUAAAAUAAAAUAAAAUAACUGAAUCCAAAUGGAUACUAUGGGAACACAGAGUAUGCUGACAAUAUUUAAAGAGUCCUUUGUGCUCCCAUAGUAUCCUUUUGGAUACAGGUUAUUUUUAAUAAUAGCUACGGUGAGUCGUCUGUGUUCCCAUAGUAUCCAUAUGGAUACUGAUUUUCUUUUGUAUUUUCUUCGAUAUAAGUCUGUUUUUUAAGUCUGCACAAUGAUAAAUAUAGGCCUAUAAGUGUUGUAAUGCUUGUUUCAGACCAAUAUUAUUAAAAUCAUGAUGUGUCUUACAGAUGAAUGACAAUGAAGAAAUUGACGAGUGGCUUAUGAUGCCAUGUAGUGAUAUUGUAAUAAUUUUGUUUACAUAAUAACUCUAUUUCUACUCAUUCUAAAUAAAUUUGUUUUAAUUGAUGAACAAGUAACUUAUUCUUCAAUUUGAUACAACUUUUAAGAAACUUGUAUCCAUAUGGAUACCAUGGGAGUGUCAAGGCAAAAUUAAAAUUAUUAACUUAUGAAAAUUAGCGAACAAUGGUACUUUAGGUUUCCAUGGUAUCCAUAUGGAUACAUAUUUCUAACUUUUAAUUCUAUGAGGGAAAAUUAAAAAAAAACACAUGUUUAGCCUUAAAAUUAAAAAAAUAAAAAUAAAAUUCACAAUAAAAGUUUUUGUUUUUAAAUUUCAUAAUCCCGGGAAGUAAAGGGUUACGGUAAGUGUUUUAACUUAAAAUUAAGUGUUCAUCAAAAUAUGUAUUUAUAAUAAACUACAAUUAAUUAAUAAUUAAUAAUUGUUCACUAUUCAUUCACUAGCCUACAAAAAACUUUAUUUUUUGUUUUUUAAAUAUCAAGUAAAAUUUAUUAGUAUUGUAACCACUAAAUGUAUGUUACACAGCAAAAACUCUGCAUUCCCAAAACAUAUUUUUAUCCUUUAAUAUUUUGAAAUGACUGGAAAUAAAUAUUAUAAUUUAAGGUUUUUGUGAAAAUAAAUGUUUGGGAAAAAUAGCAAUAAAAACCAUUUUAAAGAUAUUUAUAACUAUUUAUAUUUAACUAUCAUUUGUCUGUAAAUGAUAUUUAGACGAUAAAACACCAAAUUUGUUUCUAAAAGUAUGUCUAGCUUUGUUUUGUGUACCUAACUUUUCAGCUAUUUGUACUUAUCUGUGUU